UACGUAGGGCGCAAGCGUUGUCCGGAAUUACUGGGCGUAAAGCGUGCGUAGGUGGUUGUUUAAGUCUGCUGUGAAAGCCCUGGGCUCAACCUGGGAAUUGCAGUGGAUACUGGGCGACUAGAGUGUGGUAGAGGAUAGUGGAAUUUCCGGUGUAGCAGUGAAAUGCGUAGAGAUCGGAAGGAACAUCUGUGGCGAAGGCGGGUUGCUGGGCUGACACUGACGCUGAUGUGCGAAAGCUAGGGGAGCGAACGGG
rnacentral:rRNA from 1 species